CUUUUUUUUUGCCCUGCCCCUCUGCCAUCCUGUUCCUGCCAUGGAGCUGGUUGCCCAUGGACUGAAAUCAGAAGCCAAAAAUAAACGUCUUCUCCUUUAAAUCAUACAGUUUCAGUGGAUUUUGAAGAAGUAAGUUAAACAUGUUAAAAUGUACACCACCUUCUGAUUAGUUUGCUGGGACAAAGAACAAUACAAGCUGCCACCCAGGUUGCAGAUUACGCGAUGUGCUACAACUCCAGAUUUCUUCAAAGUCUUCUCAAGUUUUGUCUUUAGGUCAAGUACCUCCUUGAUAUAAUGUAAAAGUAAGGAUUAAAUUGUCAACCAAAAAAAAAAAAAAACGGAAGGAGUGUUGUUUAUGCUGUGAGUUUUUCUUUAUAUAGCUUUGAUUUACUACUAUGGAAAUUAGCAAAUCAUAAAGGGAAUUUAUUAAAUCCUGAAGGGCCAGAAAACUUCUUUUGGUGGAAUCACCCAAGAAAUGGCAUUUCUUUUUUUUUAACUAGUCAGAAACUAUCUUUUGGGGGGUGAAUAGAAACAAAAGAAUAAAAGGCUAAUUGUUAUUGAAAUGUUUGUUACAUUUGGAAAAAAAUUCUAUUUUUACAG
rnacentral:lncRNA from 1 species